UUUUCGAGUUGCACUCAUUGAGCCUUCUGUUGCAGAUUGUAAUCAACAUGGAUGACAGCUUAUAUGAUGAGUUUGGGAACUAUAUUGGACCAGACAUAGAAUCUGAUAGAGACUCUGAUGUUGGGGAGGAUGAUGAGGACCUACCUGACAAAGCUGAUGAAGAACCACCAGUGUCAGAUGACGAGAACACUGCUGCUGCUUCAGCUGGAUGGAUAACAUCUACUAAUGAUAUUGAUAUGGAUAACCAGGUUGUGCUUGCUGAAGACAAGAAGUAUUACCCUACUGCAGAAGAGGUAUUUGGUGAGGAUGUUGAGGCCCUUGUGAUGGAUGAAGAUGAGCAGCCCCUUGAACAACCAAUUAUAAAACCUGUCCGGAAUAUUAAAUUUGAGUUGGGUGUGAAGGAUUCUUCUACCUAUGUGGAUACGAAAUUCCUUCUGGGUCUUAUGUCGAACCCCUUGCUGGUUAGGAAUGUUGCCCUUGUUGGGCACCUCCAGCAUGGUAAAACAGUUUUCAUGGACAUGCUGAUCGAGCAAACCCAUCACAUCUCAACAUUUGAUCCAAAUAGCGAGAAGCACAUGAGGUACACAGACACGAGGAUAGAUGAGCAAGAGAGGAGGAUCUCAAUCAAGGCAGUGCCCAUGUCUCUUGUUCUUGAGGAUAGCAAUGCAAAAUCCUACUUAUGUAAUAUUAUGGACACUCCUGGCCAUGUCAAUUUCUCCGAUGAAAUGACUGCGGCUCUCAGACUUGCUGAUGGUGCUGUAUUGAUUGUAGAUGCUGCUGAAGGAGUAAUGGUAAACACAGAGAGGGCUAUACGCCAUGCAAUUCAAGAACGGCUUCCCAUUGUAGUUGUGCUUAACAAGGUUGACAGGCUGAUUACAGAAUUAAAAUUGCCUCCAAAGGAUGCUUACCAUAAGAUAAGGCAUACAAUUGAAGUCAUCAACAACCACAUAUCUGCCGCCUCUUCUACUGCAGGAGGUGUACAAACCAUUGAUCCAGCUGCCGGGAAUGUUUGCUUUGCAAGUUCAAGUGCUGGUUGGUCCUUCACUUUGCAAUCAUUUGCUAAACUUUAUUCUAAGCUUCAUGGGAUCCCAUUCGAUGCUGAUAAGUUUGCUAGCCGCCUUUGGGGAGAUAUGUACUAUCAUCCUGAUGCUAGGGUUUUCAAGAGGAAGCCCCCUGCUAGUGGGGGGGAAAGAUCAUUUGUGCAGUUUAUCCUGGAGCCACUCUAUAAAAUCUAUAGCCAAGUAAUUGGAGAACAUAAGAAGAGUGUGGAGUCAACUCUUGCUGAACUUGGUGUCACACUUAGCAAUGCGGCAUACAAGUUAAAUGUUAGACCCUUGCUAAGGCUGGCCUGUAGCUCAGUUUUUGGUACUGCAACGGGGUUUACGGAUAUGCUAGUUAAUCACAUCCCAUCAGCCAAGGAUGCUGCACCUAAGAAGGUGGAACAUAUAUAUACAGGACCCAAAGACUCAUCGGUUUACGAGGCCAUGGAAAACUGUGAUCCUUAUGGUCCACUUAUGAUUAAUGUCACAAAACUUUAUCCCAAGUCUGAUUGCAGUGUAUUUGAUGCUUUUGGUAGAGUCUACAGUGGUGAGAUCCAAACUGGACAGACUGUACGUGUAUUAGGUGAAGGUUACUCUCCAGAUGAUGAAGAGGACAUGACCAUAAAAGAAGUAACAAAGUUAUGGGUUUAUCAAUCUCGUUACAGGAUACCCAUAAGCAAGGCUCCUCCUGGCUCUUGGGUUCUCAUUGAAGGUGUGGAUGCUUCAAUUAUGAAGACUGCUACACUUUGCAAUGUGGACUAUGAUGAAGAUUUGUAUAUAUUCCGGCCUCUUAAGUUCAAUACUCUCCCUGUUGUCAAGACUGCAACUGAACCUUUGAAUCCAAGUGAGUUACCCAAGAUGGUGGAAGGUCUUAGGAAAAUCAGUAAGAGCUAUCCUUUGGCAAUUACGAAGGUCGAGGAGUCUGGUGAGCAUACCAUUUUGGGUACUGGAGAGUUAUAUUUGGACUCUAUAAUGAAAGACCUUAGGGAGCUCUAUUCUGAAGUGGAAGUUAAGGUCGCAGAUCCUGUUGUGUCAUUCUGUGAGACAGUGGUGGAGUCUUCAUCAAUGAAAUGUUUUGCUGAAACACCGAACAAAAAGAACAAAAUAACCAUGAUUGCAGAGCCCCUGGAAAAGGGACUUGCAGAGGAUAUUGAGAAUGGUGUUGUAAGCAUUGAUUGGCCUAAAAAGAAACUUGGCGAUUUCUUCCAAACAAAAUAUGAUUGGGAUCUACUUGCAGCACGGUCUAUUUGGGCAUUCGGGCCUGAUAAGCAGGGACCUAACAUUUUAUUAGAUGAUACUCUUCCAAGUGAAGUUGACAAAAACUUGCUGAAUGCAGUCAAGGAUUCCAUUGUUCAAGGUUUCCAGUGGGGUGCUCGAGAAGGACCACUCUGUGAUGAACCCAUCAGAAAUGUAAAAUUCAAGAUUGUUGAUGCAAGGAUUGCUCCUGAGCCUUUGCAUCGGGGCACUGGUCAAAUCAUUCCAACUGCUCGACGGGUGGCUUAUUCAGCAUUCCUCAUGGCAACUCCAAGGCUCAUGGAACCUGUAUACUAUGUAGAGAUCCAAACCCCAAUAGACUGUGUAUCUGCAAUCUACACAGUGUUAUCUCGUAGGCGUGGACAUGUUACGGCUGACGUUCCUCAACCGGGAACUCCUGCUUACCUUGUCAAGGCAUUUUUACCAGUGAUAGAAUCCUUUGGGUUUGAGACAGACUUAAGGUACCAUACUCAAGGACAGGCAUUUUCCCUCUCUGCAUUUGACCAUUGGGCUAUAGUUCCUGGAGAUCCCCUUGACAAAAGCAUAGUCCUGCGACCCCUCGAACCUGCACCCAUUCAGCACCUUGCACGAGAAUUCAUGGUGAAGACAAGGCGUCGGAAGGGAAUGAGUGAAGAUGUUAGCAUAAAUAAGUUUUUUGACGAAGCUAUGGUGGUGGAGCUGGCUCAGCAGGCCGCGGAGCUUCAUCAGCAGAUGAUAUGAAUAGCAAGUUAGGAUGGAGAUGGAUGAAGCUAUGGUGUUUGGUCUGGCUCUGCAUGCAGAUGAGCUUUGUCAAAGUACUGAGGUGUAGGGGCUCAGCGGAUGUUCUGUUUUAUUUUAUGCUUUCAAGUGAUAUUUUUUUGAGGCUGAGAUUGGAUCCAGUAAAGAAUGGUAUGUUCAUUGUAGAAAC